rnacentral:rRNA from 1 species
UAAGUUACUAACUGAUGCCAAACUCAAUUUGACGGAAGUUAGUAAUACUGUUUUGCUAGAGGACAGGAGAGGUUGAUGGAAUUCUGUGUGGAGCGGUGAAAUGCGUUGAUCUGCAGAGGAACACCAAAAAAGGCGAAGGCAUUCAACUAUUCUGUUCCUGACAUUGAGGCAUGAAAGCGUGGGGAGCAAACCGGAUUAGAUACCCGGGUAGUCCACGCCCUAAACGAUGAGCAUUAGAUAUUAGACGUUAAGUUUAGUGUCGCCGCUAACGCUGUAAAUGCUCCGCCUGGGUACUACGGCCGCAAGGCUAAAACUCAAAGGAAUUGACGGGGACCCGCACAAGCGGUGGAGCAUGUGGUUUAAUUCGAUACGACGCGUAGAACCUUACCAGGGCUUGACAUGGAAGGCAAAGUUGAAGAAACUCAACGGAGGUUAUCCUGACACAGGUGGUGCAUGGUCGUCGUCAGUUCGUGCUGUGAAGCGUAUGCUUAAGUGCUAUAACGAACGCAACCCUCAUAUUUAGUUGCUACCAUUUAGUUGAGAACUCUAAAUAGACUGCUAAGAAAACUUAGAGGAAGGUGAGGAUGACCGUCUGAUCAU